AGCGACGAACCAGGCUUCGGCCUGGGGCAGAGCCGCGAACGGGUGAGUAACACGUGGGUAACGUGCCCCAAUGAUCGGGACAACCCGGGGAAACCCGGGCUAAUACCGAAUGUGCUCCUCUUACAUCAGUGAGGGGUGGAAAGGAAGCUUCGGCCUCCGCAUUGGGAUCGGCCCGCGGCCCAUUAGCUUGUUGGUGAGGUAACGGCUCACCAAGGCUGCGAUGGGUAGCUGGUCUGAGAGGACGAUCAGCCACACUGGGACUGAGACACGGCCCAGACUCCUACGGGAGGCAGCAGUGGGGAAUCUUGCGCAAUGCGCGAAAGCGUGACGCAGCAACACCGCGUGGGGGAAGAAGGCCUUCGGGUUGUAAACCCCUUUCAGGAGGGACGAAGCCUAGGCGGUUAAUAGCCGACCGAGGUGACGGUACCUCCAGAAGAAGCCCCGGCUAACUACGUGCCAGCAGCCGCGGUAAUACGUAGGGGGCAAGCGUUG
rnacentral:rRNA from 1 species